rnacentral:lncRNA from 1 species
AUUUUAUACCGGUGCACUUAGUAAAAGCGUCUGUUGACGAAAUGCUUUGUAAUUGCAUUCCCAAAAAAGUUCGCUAUGAAUUAACAUAUUGGUAAAUGGAUUAGCACAUCCAAAUAUUGUUCAGCUUUUGGAGACAUUUGAAGACAAAUGGAAAGUAUACCUGGUGAUGGAGUUAAAUUGUGCGAGCUUACUGAACAACUGGCGUCAGUGCAACAACAAAAUCAUCAUGCGUCUCCAAUUAUCAUACAUGAGGACAUCAAACUCAAUAUUACGAAUUCAAAAGAUAUUUACAUGGAAUUGUUCACGUCAUUGGCAAAAUUUGAUGGCGACAAGAUUCAGUAUAGAUCAUGGAGAUCACAAGUUUGGAUCUUCAUGGAGACAAUUAACGAUUUUAACUAACAUCCGAAAUACUACAGUGCUCUGGGGAUAAUAAGAACCAAAAUCACUGGAGCAGCUGCUGAUGCUUUCACCAAUCACAGCACGAAUAUGAUUUUUUACUCCAUAAUAUACUGAUUGGACUUCACCUUUGCCGACCAGCGAUCCUUAUAUGUUUUGCUAGACGAGAUGAUGCGGAUACGUCAGUGAAGAAAAACCCUCGCAGAAUUCCAUAGCCAGGUAUCAAAGGCACUCAAUUUAGCAUUAUCAAAAAUUGAGAUGUCUAGUGACCAAAAAAACUCAGGGAUGAAGAAUUAUGUCAACCAAGAGGCGGUCAGUAUAUUCAUCCUAGGAUUGAACUCCAAAUACACUAGCGUAUGCGAUAACUUUUACCAUUUACCAAUAUCAUCAGUUCGAGGUCAAGAACACUCAAGUCAACAACUACAGUGAAAAAAUAUGUCACCCACCUUUACGUCGAGAGGACAGGCAUCAGCAUGAGGCAAACAGAGAGCCAACCCAAACAACCUGCUCCAGUUCCAAUGGACAUAGAUGUUUCCCCGCAGUACGUACAAACCACCGGCUAAAAUGGUAA